rnacentral:lncRNA from 1 species
CCGCUAAAAACACGACAGGAAAAGAAAGCGUUGAAAGAAUCGAAGCCUCCAGCCAUUGAAGAGAAUCUGCAUCGGUGAAUGAAAGUGGAAGAGGAGGAAGAAGGUGAAUAUGAAGAAGAAGAGGGAAAAGGAAGAGAAGGAAUAGGAGUGAAAUUAGGGGAAGGGAGAGGUAGAGAAGAAAAGGGAAGCUGAAUUUGAGGAAGAGAAGAGAUGGGAAAAUAGAGAGACAUGGUGGGAGUGGUUAAGGCCCUUGAUUUGAAGCGAGUGGUGGUGAAUGGGAAUGGCAAAAAUGGCAGAACUCAGCUUAGCCACCCACCGCUCCAUACCCAUCUCCUCACCAUUUUUGGC